AGUAUUUUCUACAUCAUCUAAUUCUGAACCCUUCAGAUUGAAUAGAAAUGUACUGUUAACAGGCAUCAGUGUCAUUCAAGGACGUGACUAUAGAAUUCACCCAGGAGGAGUGGCAGCAAAUGGCCCCUGUUCAGAAGAAUCUGUACAGAGAUGUGAUGCUGGAGAACUACAGCAACCUCGUCUCAGUGGGGUACUGCCAUUUCAAACCAGAGGUGAUCUUCAAGUUGGAGCAAGGAGAAGAGCCUUGGUUCUCAGAGGAGGAAUUCUCAAACCAGAGUCACCCAAGUGAGUUACUGAGUAGUAGUAGAUAUAAUUCUGCAGGAGUGGUUAGACUCCGGGUCACUUUAGGGGUGAACACCUAAAUAUUGCAAGACUUUUCUUAGCCUAAAGGCACAAAAAGCAGCAGUUAAAAGAAAAUGAUUAAUAAAGUUGAUUCCAUUAAAAGUAAGAAA
rnacentral:sRNA from 1 species